rnacentral:rRNA from 1 species
AGUGAACGCUGGCGGUAGGCCUAACACAUGCAAGUCGAACGGCAGCACAGUAAGAGCUUGCUCUUACGGGUGGCGAGUGGCGGACGGGUGAGGAAUACAUCGGAAUCUACUUUUUCGUGGGGGAUAACGUAGGGAAACUUACGCUAAUACCGCAUACGACCUACGGGUGAAAGCAGGGGAUCUUCGGACCUUGCGCGAUUGAAUGAGCCGAUGUCGGAUUAGCUAGUUGGCGGGGUAAAGGCCCACCAAGGCGACGAUCCGUAGCUGGUCUGAGAGGAUGAUCAGCCACACCGGAACUGAGACACGGUCCAGACUCCUACGGGAGGCAGCAGUGGGGAAUAUUGGACAAUGGGCGCAAGCCUGAUCCAGCCAUACCGCGUGGGUGAAGAAGGCCUUCGGGUUGUAAAGCCCUUUUGUUGGGAAAGAAAAGCAGCAGGUUAAUACCCCGCUGUUCCGACGGUACCCAAAGAAUAAGCACCGGCUAACUUCGUG